rnacentral:rRNA from 1 species
GACGAACGCUGGCGGCGCGCCUAACACAUGCAAGUCGAACGAGAGAGAGGAAGCUUGCUUCCUUAAUCGAGUGGCGAACGGGUGAGUAACGCGUGAGGAACCUGCCUCAAAGAGGGGGACAACAGUUGGAAACGACUGCUAAUACCGCAUAAGCCCACAGGUCGGCAUCGACCAGAGGGAAAAGGAGCAAUCCGCUUUGAGAUGGCCUCGCGUCCGAUUAGCUAGUUGGUGAGGUAACGGCCCACCAAGGCGACGAUCGGUAGCCGGACUGAGAGGUUGAACGGCCACAUUGGGACUGAGACACGGCCCAGACUCCUACGGGAGGCAGCAGUGGGGAAUAUUGCACAAUGGGGGAAACCCUGAUGCAGCGACGCCGCGUGGAGGAAGAAGGUCUUCGGAUUGCAAACUCCUGUUGUUGAGGAAGAUAAUGACGGUACUCAACAAGGAAGUGACGGCUAACUACGUGCCAGCAGCCGCGGUAAAACGUAGGUCACAAGCGUUGUCCGGAAUUACUGGGUGUAAAGGGAGCGCAGGCGGGAAAGCAAGUUGGAAGUGAAAUCCAUGGGCUCAACCCAUGAACUGCUUUCAAAACUGUUUUUCUUGAGUAGUGCAGAGGUAGGCGGAAUUCCCGGUGUAGCGGUGGAAUGCGUAGAUAUCGGGAGGAACACCAGUGGCGAAGGCGGCCUACUGGGCACCAACUGACGCUGAGGCUCGAAAGUGUGGGUAGCAAACAGG